rfam:Eubacterium sp. CAG:161 genomic scaffold, scf263
AAUACAUGGAAUAACUGUGGUCUGAAGAAAAUCCAAUACAGAUUAUGUAAGGGAAAAUUUUCAGUUUAAGGGAGGUCCGGUGAAAAUCCGGCACAGUCUUUCUCUACUGUAAUAGGGACGAAAAAAGCAUUAUGCCACGGAUAAAACCGGAAGGCGCUUUUAGUAGGUUGAACUAAAGUCAGGAUAUGUCAACACAGUUGUCCGGAUUUC